rnacentral:rRNA from 1 species
UGGGGAAUUUUGGACAAUGGGCGAAAGCCUGAUCCAGCAAUGCCGCGUGUGUGAAGAAGGCCUUCGGGUUGUAAAGCACUUUUGUCCGGAAAGAAAUCCUUGGCUCUAAUACAGUCGGGGGAUGACGGUACCGGAAGAAUAAGCACCGGCUAACUACGUGCCAGCAGCCGCGGUAAUACGUAGGGUGCAAGCGUUAAUCGGAAUUACUGGGCGUAAAGCGUGCGCAGGCGGUUUGCUAAGACCGAUGUGAAAUCCCCGGGCUCAACCUGGGAACUGCAUUGGUGACUGGCAGGCUAGAGUAUGGCAGAGGGGGGUAGAAUUCCACGUGUAGCAGUGAAAUGCGUAGAGAUGUGGAGGAAUACCGAUGGCGAAGGCAGCCCCCUGGGCCAAAUACUGACGCUCAUGCACGAAAGCGUGGGGGAGCAAAACAGGAUUAGAUACCCUGGUAGUCCACGCCCUAAAACGAUGUCAACUAGUUGUUGGGGAUUCAUUUCCUUAGUAACGUAGCUAACGCGUGAAGUUGACCGCCUGGGGAGUACGGUCGCAAGAUUAAAACUCAAAGAAUUGACGGGGUCAUAGCUGUUUCCU